rnacentral:lncRNA from 1 species
UCGGAAUUUACAGUAUUUAAAAAUCACCUGUUGAUACUGAACUCAAUAUUUUAAUUGUAUUAAUGGCUUAAAAAAUAAAUCAGCCUUGGAUAAAUACCAGCAUUAAAUAAAUGAAUCAAUGUCCAUAGUUCACAAUAAAUGCAGUAUAAAAGUUUUAUUUUCUAUGAAUCUGAUCUUUAGAAAGCAAUAAUGUGUGUAGCAAAUUCAAACAUGGGAGAAAAUCUAAUUUUCUAUUUAUAAUUUAUCUGGUUAAUCAAAAUAUAAGUAGUUGUAAAGCUCAAAAUGAUGUCAUAUUAAAAACUUGAAUAAAAUAAAAUAGUUGAGUUUUAAAUGGUUAACUUGGACAAUUUUUCAAAUAACUUGAAGUGAAUAAACAUGUGAUGGUUUCAAUGUGUCACCUUGUAAACUUGUAUGACAGGUAUUUCCCUAACCUGGUUUUUCCCAGAUGUUAUUUUUAAACUGGUUUAUUGAAAUUUGAUGACAAUUGGUUUUAUAAUUCACACCUGGAAGAGAAGAAUUCAGUUGAAAAGAGCACAUAAAACUUCGCUAGUCAAGAAAUUACUUUUGAGCGGAUCAUUGAAACUUGACGACACUUGGUUUUAUUAUUCACACCUGGAAGAGACGAAUUCAGCUGAAAAGAGCACACAUCACUUCGUUAACAUUCCCUUUAGUCCAGAAAUGACUUUUGAGUGGAUUAUUGAAACUUGACGACACUUGGUUUAAUAAUUCACACCCGGAAGAGACGA